rnacentral:rRNA from 2 species
AUAAGCACCGGCUAACUACGUGCCAGCAGCCGCGGUAAUACGUAGGGUGCAAGCGUUAUCCGGAAUUAUUGGGCGUAAAGGGCUCGUAGGCGGUUCGUCGCGUCCGGUGUGAAAGUCCAUCGCUUAACGGUGGAUCCGCGCCGGGUACGGGCGGGCUUGAGUGCGGUAGGGGAGACUGGAAUUCCCGGUGUAACGGUGGAAUGUGUAGAUAUCGGGAAGAACACCAAUGGCGAAGGCAGGUCUCUGGGCCGUUACUGACGCUGAGGAGCGAAAGCGUGGGGAGCGAACAGGAUUAGAUACCCUGGUAGUCCACGCCGUAAACGGUGGAUGCUGGAUGUGGGGCCCGUUCCACGGGUUCCGUGUCGGAGCUAACGCGUUAAGCAUCCCGCCUGGGGAGUACGGCCGCAAGGCUAAAACUCAAAGAAAUUGACGGGGGCCCGCACAAGCGGCGGAGCAUGCGGAUUAAUUCGAUGCAACGCGAAGAACCUUACCUGGGCUUGACAUGUUCCCGACGGUCGUAGAGAUACGGCUUCCCUUCGGGGCGGGUUCACAGGUGGUGCAUGGUCGUCGUCAGCUCGUGUCGUGAGAUGUUGGGUUAAGUCCCGCAACGAGCGCAACCCUCGCCCCGUGUUGCCAGCGGAUUAUGCCGGGAACUCACGGGGGACCGCCGGGGUUAACUCGGAGGAAGGUGGGGAUGACGUCAGAUCAUCAUGCCCCUUACGUCCAGGGCUUCACGCAUGCUACAAUGGCCGGUACAACGGGAUGCGACGCGGCGACGCGGAGCGGAUCCCUGAAAACCGGUCUCAGUUCGGAUCGCAGUCUGCAACUCGACUGCGUGAAGGCGGAGUCGCUAGUAAUCGCGAAUCAGCAACGUCGCGGUGAAUGCGUUCCCGGGCCUUGUACACACCGCCCGUCAAGUCAUGAAAGUGGGCAGCACCCGAAGCCGGUGGCCUAACCCCUUGUGGGAUGGAGCCGUCUAAGGUGAGGCUCGUGAUUGGGACUAAGUCGUAACAAGGUAGCCGUACCGGAAGGUGCGGCUG